ACCUGCAAUGAAAAGGAUUGGGAGAAAAAAUAAGAUAGACGAAAAGGUGCAACUGUUUUAAGGAUAUAAAAAAAAACAGAAAGGCUAACCUGUCGAAUGACCUUCUUGAUUGUUUCUUCGUUCAAUGUUUUGUCCAUUGUUUGUAAAAGGUACAAGCGAAGACAGAAAGCAGCGUCUAGGGUUUUGGGGUAACCUGUCGAAUGACCUUCUUAAUUGUUUCUUCGUUCAAAGUUUUCGCCAUUGUUUGUAAAAGGUACAAGCGAAGACAGAAAGCAGCGUCUAGGGUUUUGGGGUUUGGGAAAUACGGGGUUUAGUUAUCAAAUGAACGAAUUGAGUUGUUUUCAAGUUUGUAUAUACAAUAACUUGACCCGCAAAACCGGAUGUUUAU
rnacentral:lncRNA from 1 species